rnacentral:rRNA from 1 species
GUGGCUUAAUUUGACUCAACGCGGGGAAUCUUACCGGGGUCCGGACACACUGAGGCUGACAGACAAUUGUCUUUUUGUCAAAUUUAAAGACAAAAGAUAACAGAUCUUUCAUGAUUAUGUGAUGGGUGGUGCAUGGCCGUUCUUAGUUCGUGGAGUGAUCUGUCUGCUUAAUUGCGUUUCAAAUAUAUUUUAUUAUAUAACGAGUCUACAAAGGAGUGGUUCAUUAACAGACAAUCAUAUCUUUGAGCGUCUGGAAUCUACUCUAUUUGGCUCAAUUGAACGCAACGGACGUGAUCGCGAGUCCUUGUUGAACUUCAGUAUAUAUUGACUAUCCCCGUAGGAAGGGAUUGGCAAUAAUUGAAUGUUCGCUUUCUAUUAGGUGUGUAUAUAUAGUCUCAAAAUUACAUGUAUUUGUAAUGGCGAGUAAUAUUUAUACUAUCCUGUAGGAAAACUCGGGCGACCGCUGUAAUAUUUCUCUUUAAAACAGAGGAAGAUUGCGGCAAUAACAGGUCUGUGAUGC